CAGAAUAUCUCAUUGUGUAAUUUUGGUGUCUUAUAUUGGUCUCGGAGUGCAUAUGGAGUAUGGAACAUAUUUGGAGGGAAGCUUGCAUGGGGACCCGGGGCAAUUGUUUGCGAUGAUCCAAAUUUCUAGGGUCGUGGAAAUCCUUCAAGCGGUGACAUAUUUCAUGCAGCACCAAACAUUGAUCAAUCAUCAAUCACAGGAUUUUGUAAGAAAUGACGUCAAAGAGUAGCUGAACUGGCUCAAGAACAAUAUUGGUUAUGAUGGCUGGCGCCUUGACUUUGUGAGGGGAUUCUCAGGUGAAUAUGUGAAAGAUUACAUUGAAGCUUCAAAUCCUGCAUUUGCCAUUGGGGAAUAUUGGGAUAGCCUAGCUUACGAAGGCGGUGAUCUAUGCUACAACCAAGAUGCACAUCGUCAACAUGUGAUUAACUGGAUCAACGCCACUGGUGGUACCUCAUCUGCAUUUGAUGUCACAACAAAUGGAAUACUUCAUUCUGCGGCAUAACCAGUAUUGGAAAUUAAUAGAUCCUAAUGGAAAACCAACUGGGGUAAUGGGAUGGUGGCCCUCACGCGCUGUCACAUUCGUGGAAAAUCAUGAUAAUGGAUCAACACAGGGUCAUUGGCCGUACCCAUACCCAGGAGAUAAGCUUAUGCAAGGAUAUGUAUACAUCUUAACCCAUCCCCGGAAUGCCUGUGAUAUUUUACGACCAUUUUUAUGAUUUUGGGCUCCGUGAUGUUAUAACGGGAUUAAUCGAGGCAAGAAAACGGGCUCGGAUCCCUCCCAUGCAGCUUAUUAUUUUAUCAUGCUCUAUCACACAUAUU